CCUACGGGUGGCAGCAGUGGGGAAUAUUGCACAAUGGGCGCAAGCCUGAUGCAGCCAUGCCGCGUGUAUGAAGAAGGCCUUCGGGUUGUAAAGUACUUUCAGUCGUGAGGAAGGUGUUAAGGUUAAUAACCUUAGCAAUUGACGUUAGCAACGAAAGAAGAACCGCUUACCUCGUUGCCAGAGGCGGCGGUAAUAGGGAGGGUGCGGGCGUUAAUCGGAAUUACUGGGCGUAAAGGGCACGCAGGCGGUUAAGUAAGUUGGAUGUGAAAUCCCCGGGCUUAACCUGGGAAUGGCAUUCAAGACUGGUUAGCUAGAGUCUUGUAGAGGGGGGUAGAAUUCCAUGUGUAGCGGUGAAAUGCGUAGAGAUGUGGAGGAAUACCGGUGGCGAAGGCGGCCCCCUGGACAAAGACUGACGCUCAGGUGCGAAAGCGUGGGGAGCAAACAGGAUUAGAUACCCCGGUAGUC
rnacentral:rRNA from 1 species